rnacentral:rRNA from 1 species
AGAAAGUAAGCAAGGGCAGACGGUGGAUGCCUUGGCUCUCGGAGGCGACGAAGGACGUGAUAAGCUGCGAAAAGCCCGGGGGAGGCGCAAAUAGCCCUUGAUCCCGGGAUAUCCGAAUGGGGCAACCCGGCAGGCUGAAGGCCUGCCAUCCCGUAAGGGAGGCGAACGUGGGGAACUGAAACAUCUAAGUACCCAUAGGAGGAGAAAAUAAACAAUGAUUCCGUAAGUAGUGGCGAGCGAACACGGAAGAGCCCAAACCCAUGUCGUCUAGGCGACACGGGGGUUGUAGGACCACGACGUGGCAAGAGGAUGGCAAGUGGAACGCCUUGGAAAGGGCGACCGUAGAGGGUGAUAGUCCCGUACACGACUGCCUGCCGAAGCCUAGUGGCAUCCUGAGUAGCGCGGGGCACGAGAAAUCUUGCGUGAAACAGCGGGGCCCAUCCCGUAAGGCUAAAUACUCCCGAGAGACCGAUAGCGAACCAGUACCGUGAGGGAAAGGUGAAAAGAACCCCGAGCAGGGGAGUGAAAUAGACCCUGAACCCGUCUGCCUACAAGCGGUCGGAGCAUAGCAAUAUGUGACGGCGUGCCUUUUGCAUAAUGAACCUACGAGUUACCUUCCCCGGCAAGGUUAAGUACCUAAGGUACGGAGCCGAAGCGAAAGCGAGUCUGAAGAGGGCGGCCAGUCGGGGGGGGUAGACGCGAAACCGAGUGAUCUACCCUUGGCCAGGUUGAAGGUUGGGUAACACCAACUGGAGGACCGGAUGGGUAAGCGUUGAAAAGCUUUCCAAUGAGCUGAGGGUAGGGGUGAAAGGCUAAUCAAACUCGGAGAUAGCUCGUACUCCCCGAAAUGCAUUUAGGUGCAGCCUCUUUAUAGUAUAUCGUGAGGUAGAGCGACUGAUUGGAUGCGAGGGCUUCACCGCCUAUCAAGUCCAGAUAAACUCCGAAUGCGCGAUAUAUAUUUACAGGGAGUGAGGGCGCGGGUGCUAAGGUCCGUGUCCGAGAGGAGAAGAAUCCAGACCACCGGCUAAGGCCCCCAAAUGAUCGUUGAGUUGAACUAACGAGGUCGGAUCGCAGAGACAGCUAGGAUGUUGGCUUGGAAGCAGCCAUUCAUUUAAAGAGUGCGUAACAGCUCACUAGUCGAGCGAUCUGGCGUGGAUAAUAAUCGGGCAUAAACGAUCUGCCGAAGCCGUGGAUGUCGUAAGACAUGGUAGGGGAGCAUUCCAUGCGGCGUCGAAGAUGAGGGAUGACCCUUGUUGGAGCGCAUGGAAAAGCAAAUGUAGGUAUGAGUAACGAUAAGGGGGGCGAGAAACCCCCCCGCCGAAAGACCAAGGUUUCCUGAUCAACGCUAAUCGGAUCAGGGUGAGUCGGGACCUAAGGCAAAGCCGAACGGCGCCGCCGAUGGAAGAAUGGGUUAAUAUUCCCAUACUGCCUCAUGGAGUGACGUGGAGACGGAGAAGUGACAGUCCUGCCGGCUGACGGAAUAGCCGGUUGAAGGGUGUAGAUAUUGAUUCCCGUAGGCAAAUCCGCGGGGAGAGUCGAACCUGACAGUAUACCGAGUACUUGUACGAGGUAAUAUGGACGUAACCAUGCUCCCAAGAAAAUCCGCUAAACUUAUCCAUGCGGCACCCGUACCGUAAACGGACACACGUGGUCGGGUUGAGAAUACUGAGGCGCUCGAGUGACUCACGGUUAAGGAACUAGGCAAAUUGACCCUGUAACUUCGGGAUAAAGGGUCCUCGUCGUAAGGCGAGGCGCAGAGAAUAGGUCCAGGCAACUGUUUAACAAAAACACAUGGCUAUGCUAAAUGGAAACAUGACGUAUAUAGCCUGACACCUGCCCGGUGCUGGAAGGUUAAGAGGAGAUGUCAUCGCAAGAGAAGCGUUGAAUUGAAGCCCCAGUAAACGGCGGCCGUAACUAUAACGGUCCUAAGGUAGCGAAAUUCCUUGUCGGGUAAGUUCCGACCUGCACGAAUGGUGUAAUGAUCUGGACACUGUCUCAACCGUGAGCUCGGUGAAAUUGUAGUAUCGGUGAAGAUGCCGAUUACCCGCGAUGGGACGAAAAGACCCCGUGAACCUUUACUAUAGCUUUACAUUGAAUUUGGGCAGACGAUGUGUAGGAUAGGCCGGAGGCUUUGAAGGGGGUACGCCAGUAUCCUUGGAGCCGCCGUUGAAAUACGGCCCUUCGGUUGUUUGAGUUCUAACUCCUAGGCAGGAGGACACUGUAUGGUGGGUAGUUUGACUGGGGUGGUCGCCUCCAAAAGCGUAACGGAGGCUUCUAAAGGUGCCCUCAGACCGAUUGGUAACCGGUCGUAGAGUGUAAUGGCAUAAGGGCGCUUGACUGGGAGAGAUACAACUCGAUCAGGUAGGAAACUAGAGCAUAGUGAUCCGGUGGUUCCGCAUGGAAGGGCCAUCGCUCAAAGGAUAAAAGGUACUCCGGGGAUAACAGGCUGAUCAUUCCCAAGAGCUCAUAUCGACGGAAUGGUUUGGCACCUCGAUGUCGGCUCGUCACAUCCUGGGGCUGGAGAAGGUCCCAAGGGUUGGGCUGUUCGCCCAUUAAAGUGGCACGCGAGCUGGGUUCAGAACGUCGUGAGACAGUUCGGUCUCUAUCUAUCGUGGGCGCAGGAGAUUUGAGGGGCUCUGACACUAGUACGAGAGGACCGUGUUGGACGUACCACUGGUUUACCGGUUGUCCCGCCAGGGGCACCGCCGGGUAUCUAAGUACGGAUCGGAUAAGUGCUGAAAGCAUCUAAGUACGAAGCCGGCCUCAAGAUUAGAUCUCCCUCAAGGGUGGUUAUAGACGAUGACCUUGAUAGGCCACAGGUGUAAGGGCGGCGACGUCCGAGCCGAGUGGUACUAAUAGCCCGGGACUUUCCUCA